UACAGGGGGUGCAAACGUUGCUCGGAAUUAUUGGGCGUAAAGCGCACGUAGGCGGCCGAAUAAGUCGGGUGUGAAAGCCCUGGGCUCAACCCAGGAAGUGCACUCGAAACUGCUCGGCUUGAGUAUGGAAGAGGGUUGCGGAAUUCCCGGUGUAGAGGUGAAAUUCGUAGAUAUCGGGAGGAACACCAGUGGCGAAGGCGGCAACCUGGGCCAAUACUGACGCUGAGGUGCGAAAGCGUGGGGAGCAAACAGG
rnacentral:rRNA from 1 species